rnacentral:misc_RNA from 1 species
AAGUCGUAACAAGGUAUCUGUAGGUGAACCUGCAGAUGGAUCAUUGAAUACAACGUUAUCCAACGUUCACCCCAUACGCGAACUUGUUUUUCACCAGUAGUGUGAAGAUGGAUAAGGGUGCAAGAGAUGUGGCGUCUAACAUCGAAAGGUGUUAGUUCUUGCACUUGUGCUCCGGGCGCAAGCCUGGGUGAUGCGCGCUUCACAUUACUUCGCCAUGUUUUUUACUAAAUUUUACCCCAUUUACCUUAUUCUUUUUGUACUAACUCUUUUUUUCUCCUCUUUCGAGGGAAAAAAACACUUUAAAUAAUGCGAACAACUCUUAGCAACGGAUAUCUAGGCUCUC